rnacentral:rRNA from 1 species
CACGUAGGGCGCAAGCGUUGUCCGGAAUUAUUGGGCGUAAAGAGCUCGUAGGCGGUCUGUUGCGUCCGCUGUGAAAACUCGGGGCUUAACCCCGAGCCUGCAGUGGAUACGGGCAGACUAGAGGUAUGCAGGGGAGAACGGAAUUCCUGGUGUAGCGGUGGAAUGCGCAGAUAUCAGGAGGAACACCGGUGGCGAAGGCGGUUCUCUGGGCAUUACCUGACGCUGAGGAGCGAAAGCAUGGGGAGCGAACAGG